CCCCUAGAUGUUCUGGGCCGCACGCGCGCUACACUGAACAGUUCAACAAGUCUUAACCUUGGCCGAUAGGUCUGGGUAAUCUUUGAACGCUGUUCGUGAUUGGGAUAGACCUUUGCAAUUAUGGGUCUUCAACGAGGAAUUCCUAGUAAACGCAAUUCAUCAGCUUGCAUUGAUUACGUCCCUGCCCUUUGUACACACCGCCCGUCGCACCUACCGAUUGAAUGGUCCGGUGAAAUCUCGGGACGGCGGCUUGGUCGCUUGCGUCCGACUGCUGAAACUUGAUUAAACCAUAUCAUUUAGAGGAAGGUGAAGUCGUAACA
rnacentral:rRNA from 1 species